rnacentral:rRNA from 1 species
CUGCAGCCCGAGUGGUGAUCGAUUUUAUUGAGCCUAAAGCGUCCGUAGCCGGACUAGUAAACCCUUGGGUAAAUUGGGCAGCUUAACUGUCCAAAUUCCGAGGGGACUGCUAGUCUUGGGACCGGGAGAGGUCAGAGGUACUCAAGGGGUAGGGGCUAAAUCCUGUAAUCCUUUGGGGACCACCAGUGGCGAAGGCGUCUGACUAGAACGGAUCCGACGGUAAGGGACGAAACCCUGGGGCGCGAAUCGGAUUAGAUACCCGAGUAGUCC